rnacentral:rRNA from 1 species
GUGCCAGCAGCCGCGGUAAUACGUAGGUGGCAAGCGUUGUCCGGAUUUAUUGGGCGUAAAGCGAGCGCAGGCGGUUUCUUAAGUCUGAUGUGAAAGCCUUCGGCUCAACCGAAGAAGUGCAUCGGAAACUGGGAAACUUGAGUGCAGAAGAGGACAGUGGAACUCCAUGUGUAGCGGUGAAAUGCGUAGAUAUAUGGAAGAACACCAGUGGCGAAGGCGGCUGUCUGGUCUGUAACUGACGCUGAGGCUCGAAAGCAUGGGUAGCAAACAGGAUUAGAUACCCUGGUAGUCCAUGCCGUAAACGAUGAGUGCUAGGUGUUGGAGGGUUUCCGCCCUUCAGUGCCGCAGCUAACGCAUUAAGCACUCCGCCUGGGGAGUACGACCGCAAGGUUGAAACUCAAAGGAAUUGACGGGGGCCCGCACAAGCGGUGGAGCAUGUGGUUUAAUUCGAAGCAACGCGAAGAACCUUACCAGGUCUUGACAUCCUUUGACCACUCUAGAGAUAGAGCUUUCCCUUCGGGGACAAAGUGACAGGUGGUGCAUGGUUGUCGUCAGCUCGUGUCGUGAGAUGUUGGGUUAAGUCCCGCAACGAGCGCAACCCUUAUUACUAGUUGCCAGCAUUUAGUUGGGCACUCUAGUGAGACUGCCGGUGACAAACCGGAGGAAGGUGGGGACGACGUCAAAUCAUCAUGCCCCUUAUGACCUGGGCUACACACGUGCUACAAUGGAUGGUACAACGAGUUGCGAGACCGCGAGGUUUAGCUAAUCUCUUAAAACCAUUCUCAGUUCGGAUUGUUGGCUGCAACUCGCCUACAUGAAGCCGGAAUCGCUAGUAAUCGCGGAUCAGCAUGCCGCGGUGAAUACGUUCCCGGGCCUUGUACACACCGCCCGU